CCUACGGGAGGCAGCAGUGAGGAAUAUUGGUCAAUGGCCGAGAGGCUGAACCAGCCAAGUCGCGUGAGUGAAGACGGCCCUACGGGUUGUAAACCUCUUUUGUCGGGGAGCAAAGCGAACCACGUGUGGUUCUUUGAGUGUACCCGAAGGAAAAGCAUCGGCUAACUCCGUGCCAGCAGCCGCGGUACUACGUAGGUGGCAAGCGUUAUCCGGAUUUACUGGGUGUAAAGGGCGUGUAGGCGGGACUGCAAGUCAGAUGUGAAAUGCAAGGGCUCAACCCUGGAACUGCAUUUGAAACUGUAGUUCUUGAGUGAUAGAGAGGCAGGCGGAAUUCCGGGUGUAGCGGUGAAAUGCGUAGAUAUACGGAGGAACACCAGUGGCGAAGGCGGCCUGCUGGACAUUAACUGACGCUGAGGCGCGAAAGCGUGGGGAGCAAACAGGAUUAGAUACCCGAGUAGUC
rnacentral:rRNA from 1 species